GACGAACGCUGGCGGCGUGCUUAACACAUGCAAGUCGAACGGAAAGGCCCUGCUUUUGUGGGGUGCUCGAGUGGCGAACGGGUGAGUAACACGUGAGUAACCUGCCCUUGACUUUGGGAUAACUUCAGGAAACUGGGGCUAAUACCGGAUAGGAGCUCCUGCUGCAUGGUGGGGGUUGGUAAGUUUCGGCGGUUGGGGAUGGACUCGCGGCUUAUCAGCUUGUUGGUGUGGUAGUGGCUUACCAAGGCUUUGACGGGUAGCCGGCCUGAGAGGGUGACCGGCCACAUUGGGACUGAGAUACGGCCCAGACUCCUACGGGAGGCAGCAGUGGGGAAUAUUGCACAAUGGGCGGAAGCCUGAUGCAGCAACGCCGCGUGCGGGAUGACGGCCUUCGGGUUGUAAACCGCUUUCGCCUGUGACGAAGCGUGAGUGACGGUAAUGAGUAAAGAAGCACCGGCUAACUACGUG
rnacentral:rRNA from 1 species